AAGACCACUUCGCCCUGUAGAAACCUAAUCUGCGAUGAAGAGCACAUUUGUGUUCUCUUUCACAUCGAUCGGUGGAGGCGAUGACGUUCCAGUUCCGUAACGGGGGCGUUAUGAUUUCUUCGACUUUAAUCUCAUUGUCUUUAAUCCCAUUAAAUCGAACGCCUACUACGAUCUCUUCGGUUGAGUUGUUCAGUCGGCGAUCUCAUGUAUAAAUAGACGGCACAUAUGGACAAAUUAAACCCGCUUGAGAUCACAAGUCUGAUUCAGACGGCGCGGAUGGAGAUCUUCAAGGGCCUCAUAGACACAAAGGAGUGUGACAACGUUUAGCGUGAGUGUUAUCCAACUUGAAACUGCACUUUGUUUUAUCAUGUGUGUGUCAUACAUGGUUUGUGAUGCUGUUGGAGUAAAGGGAAGGAACAUUAUGAAAGCAUCUUCAACUGUCACUACUGAAAUUGUCGAUCACAGAUAAGUCUUUUUAAGGAGAAUACAAAAUCAAUUUUUGUACAGUGAUUCUGAUAUGUUUUUGUAGGAAUGGUGCAAAGACAGCAGAGGCGACAAACAGACAAACGCUGGGUUUGGAGCAGCAGGGCAUGCUCUUAGAACAACGUGGACAGUUUUCAUGAUCAGACAAGCUCUCCCAAAGAGUCUGUAAUAAAGAGUGUGUUUAAUUGAUGUCUAAAACCGCAGCCUAAUAAAAAAAAGGGAAAGGAGCUUUUUAAAUCAACCGAGAAAAAGAGUUAUAAGUGGAUAUUGUGGUUGUUUGUACAUCAGUUUCAUUGCCUUGGUGCAAAAGCAAUACCCAUUUAAAAAAUAGGUUUUGGUUAUUGUUGUUGGGGCAUGUGUUUCUUUUAGAAUCAAUAGCUAUAUGCAAACAUAGACACAAUAUUUUUUAUUGGGUAUGCUUAGUCACUGAGAAUGAUAGAUUUUUUGUAUGUCAUGCUGCUGUGUUUUUAUAAUCUCUUUUUAAGUUGUGGU